rnacentral:rRNA from 1 species
AUUGAACGCUGGCGGCAGGCCUAACACAUGCAAGUCGAACGAGUGGCGGACGGGUGAGUAAUGUCUGGGAAACUGCCUGAUGGAGGGGGAUAACUACUGGAAACGGUAGCUAAUACCGCAUACCAUCGGCGCUGCCCAGGUGGGAUUAGCUAGUAGGUGGGGUAACGGCUCACCUAGGCGACGAUCCCUAGCCGGUGUGAGAGGAUGACCAGCCACACUGGAACUGAGACACGGUCCAGACUCCUACGGGAGGCAGCAGUGGGGAAUAUUGCACAAUGGGCGCAAGCCUGAUGCAGCCAUGCCGCGUGUAUGAAGAAGGCCUUCGGGUUGUAAAGUACUUUCAGCGGGGAGGCGUUACCCGCAGAAGAAGCACCGGCUAACUCCGUGCCAGCAGCCGCGGUAAUUC